AUACUCUGGUUUCUCUUCAGAUCAUAUAAAUCUUUCGCCUUUUACUAAGGAUUUCUGUGGAGAGGAACAUUUAUGAGAAACCAAGUAAGAACAGCCUUGUUUAGUAACUGGAU